UUGAUCAAAGCUGUAUCCCGAAAUAAAUUUAAAUUUAACCAGAUGAUAGCUGCAGUUACAUAAUCUAAAAAUAUCAAUGAUGGAAAAUUUUAAAGCAUUUGGUUGCUGUAAGGAGCGCAGGCCCAGUGAGAGUGACAGGUAACUGGACUCCUCAUUUGAUGAGGCACCCUGGAGCAUUCAGAGCUGAUUACCUGGAUGCAGGCCACCAUGCUGCAUGGCAGACAGCAUGGGGCAUGUUUGUGCAUCAAAAUGGAGAGGGAAGGCAGCAAGAAAUGUGACUUCCCACCACCCCCAUGGCUUCCAGCUGGGAACAGCUCUGUGAGCUGAGAGCCCUGAAAUGGCCACCCUGAAAUGGCCGCCCUCCAGGUGAGCUGUCAUGGAGGCCAAUGGGUGGGCACCUGGGCCUUGAUGUCCUUUUUAUAGCACACACAUGAGUGCUGUGGUAAAAUCUCCAGAGUUCUAGUGAUGGAUAUUCUCUCAGCAUGCUACAGAGGUUGGUCUGCAUGUCAUUCAUUCUACAUGCACAGUGUCAGAGUGAGCUGUGGGUAUUGUUUCUUUCUCCACCACUGAACUGCUGGAGCAACGUACUGCUGUGAAAAACUGAGCCUUUCCAACAGAAUUAGCAAUACUGUCACACCUUAAAUGCAAAGUGUCAACCCUCACCGGAGGAGGAGAUGGAGUGCCAUUUCCAGUGUUUGCAGAGGCAAGAAGAGUUCAGCCCUUACAAAAAUAAAUGGGUGACAAGCAUGAACACAGGAGUGCUGGCUGUACUUCAUGUACUUCAGUGUCUUCAGGAGUCCGUGAAAGGCAAGACCUGCCUCAGACUGACCCCAGCGAUCUCUCCUACUCUUCUUCUUGACUGAAGAGCAUUUCUGUGACUUAAAGAAACAGAGGUCGCAGUCUUUUCUGCCUGGAAAGAGAAGCUAAUCUGUGGAAGAGGAAUGAAGUUGGAAAGCCUAACUCAUCAAUGACAGCAAAAAUGCAAAAAUGCUUUAAUAUCUGGACAGUAAUGCUGGAUAUAUGUUGUUUCUGUGGUACUUCAUUGUGACAGUACAGGAAUUUUGAUCCAUUCCUAAAGGAUGCCGUGCAAUUUUUGUGCCGUCUUUUACUAAUAGACAUUGUGAUAACAGAAGUGUAUAGUUGCUUUUUUUUUUUUUUUUUUUUUUUUUCUGAAUGAGA